UACGGGGGGAGCAAGCGUUGUUCGGAUUUACUGGGCGUAAAGGGCGCGUAGGCGGCGUGACAAGUCACUUGUGAAAUCUCCGGGCUUAACCCGGAGCGGCCAAGUGAUACUGUCGUGCUAGAGUGCGGAAGGGGCUACUGGAAUUCUCGGUGUAGCGGUGAAAUGCGUAGAUAUCAGGAAGAACACCUAUGGCGAAGGCAGCUCUCUGGGACGGUACUGACGCUGAGACGCGAAAGCGUGGGGAGCGAACAGG
rnacentral:rRNA from 1 species